rnacentral:rRNA from 1 species
UACGUAGGGGGCAAGCGUUGUCCGGAAUUAUUGGGCGUAAAGGGCUCGUAGGCGGUUUGUCGCGUCGGGAGUGAAAACAUCUGGCUUAACUGGGUGCUUGCUUUCGAUACGGGCAGACUGGAGGUAUGCAGGGGGAGAACGGAAUUCCUGGUGUAGCGGUGAAAUGCGCAGAUAUCAGGAGGAACACCGGUGGCGAAGGCGGGUCUCUGGGCCGAUACUGACGCUGAGGAGCGAAAGCGUGGGGAGCGAACAGG